rnacentral:snRNA from 1 species
AGAUGUGAGGGCAAUCUGGCUGUGACAUCUGUCACCCCAUUGACCGCCAGGGUUGACUCAGCUGAUCUGGCUGUCUAGAUGGGUGCCCCUUGCUCCCUCACCACUCCAUGUGCAUCCCAAAACUGUAUGCUCAGUCGAAGAGGACCACCAUCCCCGGUAGAGGAGAACCUUUCUUCGGUCAAGGGUAUACGAGUAGCUGCGCUCCCCUGCUAGAACCUCCAAACAAACUCUCUCUCACUCUCUCUGUCUCUCUUUGGCAAACACUCACACCUUCUGGCAAAACAGAAUAAAUUUUUUUUAUUAUUUUUAAAAGAAACUGGGGGGAACCAGCAGUUAGCAUAAUGGCU